rnacentral:rRNA from 1 species
AUUGAACGCUGGCGGCAGGCCUAACACAUGCAAGUCGAGCGAGCGGCGGACGGGUGCGUAAUGUCUGGGAAACUGCCUGAUGGAGGGGGAUAACUACUGGAAACGGUAGCUAAUACCGCAUACCAUCAGAUGUGCCCUGAUGGGAUUAGCUAGUAGGUGGGGUAAUGGCUCACCUAGGCGACGAUCCCUACCUGGUCUGAGAGGAUGACCAGCCACACUGGAACUGAGACACGGUCCAGACUCCUACGGGAGGCAGCAGUGGGGAAUAUUGCACAAUGGGCGCAAGCCUGAUGCAGCCAUGCCGCGUGAGUGAAGAAGGCCUUCGGGUUGUAAAGCACUUUCAGCGAGGAGGCGUUACUCGCAGAAGAAGCACCGGCUAACUCCGUGCCAGCCGCCGCGGUAAUUC